UACAGAGGUCUCGAGCGUUAGGCGGAAUCACUGGGCUUAAAGCGUGUGUAGGCGGAUCGUUAAGUGCCUUGUGAAAUCCCACGGCUUAACCGUGGAACUGCUUGGCAUACUGGCGGUCUUGAGCAACCUAGGGGCGAGCGGAACAAAUGGUGGAGCGGUGAAAUGCGUAGAUAUCAUUUGGAACGCCAAUGGUGAAAACAGCUCGCUGGGGGUUUGCGGACGCUGAGACACGAAAGCCAGGGGAGCAAACGGG
rnacentral:rRNA from 1 species